CUGCCCUCAAGCCCGGCUUGUGUGUUGGGCCGACGUCCCCUAGGGACGGGCCCGAAAGGCAGUGGCGGCACCGCGACCGGUCCUCGAGCGUAUGGGGCUUUGUCACCCGCUCUGUAGGCCCGGCCGGCGCCCGCCGACGACUCCAAUCUUCUCCA
rnacentral:misc_RNA from 1 species